AUACUUGCCUGGCAGGGGAGAUACCAUGAUCACAAAGGUGGUUUUCCGAGGGUGAGGCUUAUCCAUUGCACCCUGUAUGUGCUGACCUCUGUGAUUUCCUCAAAUGUGGGAAACUCGACUACAUAAUUUGUGGCAGUGGGGGACUACGUUUGCACUCUCCCCUG
ensembl:snRNA U1 U1 spliceosomal RNA